AACGCACAUUGCGCCCCCUGGUAUUCCGGGGGGCAUGCCUGUCCGAGCGUCAUUGCAACCCUUCAAGCAACUCAGCUUGUGUGUUGGACGGCCGCCCCAGUGUGUGGGCGGGUCCCAAAUGCAGUGGCGGCGCGGCUUCGGCGUCCGAGUGCAUGGUAACCAUCGCGCUCGUUGGCCCGGGUCGUGACCGAUCCCAAAUCAUAUUUUCUCUGGUUGACCUCGGAUCAGGUAGGGAUACCCGCUGAACUUAA
rnacentral:misc_RNA from 1 species